UUCUGACCGUAAACGAUGCCAACUAGCGAUCCGCCGGCGGAUUCCAAACGCCCUGGUGGGGAGCUUCCCGGAAACGAAAGUCUUCCGGUUCCGGGGGAAGUAUGGUUGCAAAGCUGAAACUUAAAGGAAUUGACGGAAGGGCACCACCAGGAGUGGAGCCUGCGGCUUAAUUUGACUCAACACGGGAAAACUCACCCGGCCCGGACACCGCGAGGAUUGACAGAUUGAUAGCUUUUUCAUGAUUCGGUGGAUGGUGGUGCAUGGCCGUUCUUAGUUCGUGGAGCGAUUUGUCUGGUUUAUUCCGAUAACGAGCGAGACUCUAGCCUACUAACUAGUCCGCACAUUCUACGUGCCUCGGCACUGUGUGCCCUUCGGACUUCUUAGAGGGAUUUUCGGCAUCCAAGCCGCACGAAACUGAGCAAUAACAGGUCUGUGAUGCCCUUAGAUGUCCGGGGCUGCACGCGCGCUACACUGGCGAAAUCAGCGUGCCUGUCCUCUCGCGAAAGCGACUGGUAAACCGGUGAAAAUUCGCCGUGAUUGGGAUCGGAAAUUGCAAUUAUUUUCCGUGAACGAGGAAUUCCAAGUAAGUGCGAGUCAUCAACUCGCGUUG
rnacentral:rRNA from 1 species